CUGCAACUCGCCUGCAUGAAGUCGGAAUCGCUAGUAAUCGCGAGUCAGCAUAUCGCGGUGAAUACGUUCCCGGGUCUUGUACACACCGCCCGUCACACCACAAAGUUGGCAACACCCGAAGCCGAUGGGCUAACCGCAAGGGGGCAGUCGUCUAAGGUGGGGUCGAUGAUUGGGGUGAAGUCGUAACAAGGUAGC
rnacentral:rRNA from 1 species